GGGACACGUGGUAUCCUGUCUGAAUAUGGGGGGACCAUCCUCCAAGGCUAAAUACUCCUGACUGACCGAUAGUGAACCAGUACCGUGAGGGAAAGGCGAAAAGAACCCCGGCGAGGGGAGUGAAAAAGAACCUGAAACCGUGUACGUACAAGCAGUGGGAGCACCUUCGGGUGUGACUGCGUACCUUUUGUAUAAUGGGUCAGCGACUUAUAUUCUGUAGCAAGGUUAACCGUAUAGGGGAGCCGCAGGGAAACCGAGUCUUAACUGGGCGUUAAGUUGCAGGGUAUAGACCCGAAACCCGGUGAUCUAGCCAUGGGCAGGUUGAAGGUUGGGUAACACUAACUGGAGGACCGAACCGACUAAUGUUGAAAAAUUAGCGGAUGACUUGUGGCUGGGGGUGAAAGGCCAAUCAAACCGGGAGAUAGCUGGUUCUCCCCGAAAGCUAUUUAGGUAGCGCCUCGUGAACUCAUCUUCGGGGGUAGAGCACUGUUUCGGCUAGGGGGUCAUCCCGACUUACCAACCCGAUGCAAACUACGAAUACCGAAGAAUGUUAUCACGGGAGACACACGGCGGGUGCUAAC
rnacentral:rRNA from 1 species